rnacentral:miRNA from 1 species
UUCCUUACCUCACCGUCAAAGGA